CGGGUAGCGGAACACGUACAGAACUUCCUUUAAGCGGGGGAUAGCCCGGAGAAAUCCGGAUUAAUACCCCAUAGUAAUGUUGGGUGGCAUCACUUGAUAUUUAAAGAUUUAUCACUUAGAGAUGGCUGUGCGGCUGAUUAGGUAGUUGGCGGGGUAAAGGCCCACCAAGCCAUCGAUCAGUAACUGGUGUGAGAGCACGACCAGUCACACGGGCACUGAGACACGGGCCCG
rnacentral:rRNA from 1 species